GCUGUAUCACAACCGGACGUGAUUGUGAGUCCCAUAGGGCGGCGCACAAUUGGCCCAGCGUCAGGGUUUACAAAAGGUGGGCCUACCACGUGGAUGGACAUUCAUAAAAUGCCAUUGAUGACAACAUAGUACGCUACACCCCAGUAAGCAUGGAACGACGCCGACAUCUUUUGGAGUCUUUUUUUGGUCCUGUCUGGAUUGGCCGUUUUUGGUGUUUUAUAAACACAGCAGGACGGUCAGGACCAGUACUGGCAGGAAGUGUAUUGCGUGUCAUGGGUUUGCUAAAUACAAUGCCCAAGACUUAAAGUAGUCUGAAGGCUUGUGUAUCAAUCCUUCCACUGCUGACCCAGAUGAGAUGCUCAUCACGUAAAGGACUGGCUUCGCCUAGAAUCAUGCAUACCUUUUCUGUGAGUACUCAGACAUCAGAUUCUUUACUUACCUCAUGAGGACCCCUGAGAUUGCAAUAUCUGGAAACACUGUCUCAUGUAGAAUUGGUUAUGUUCUUUCUUUGAAAUGUAUUUAAAAAACAAUAUUGACUUGAUUGUUUCAUUAAGGACGGUGCAUCACAAGCUGGAACUAGUGGGCAAAAUUGGGAGAAUGUUGCCCAAAACAACGGGCCGAUAUAUAUAUUUAUUUUUUAUUAUUUAACCUUUUAUUUAACUAGGCAAGUCAGUUAAGAACAAAUUCUUAUUUACAAUGACGGCCUACCCCGGCCAAACCGGGCCAACGCUGGGCCGCCCUAUGGGGCUCCCAAUCACAACCGGAUGUAAUAAAACCUGGAUGGAGGGUUAGACCAUCCCCCAUAUGCCAUUAACAAUUACGGGAAUCUCUAUAUGGCCAAUGGAAAUGGUGUCCCCCUGUGAAUGACCAACAAUGGAGCAACGUUUGACUUCAGCUUUACUGUUCAACAUUCAUGGUGUGCUGAAUGUUUUAUUACUGAACAACCAUAAGUAUUUGUCCUCUAAUCUGUCACACGUUCCUCAACAGUAAGCAAGACAUGCCAGCAGAGCUCACUGGAGCAGGAAGACAUCCCGUCCUCCUCUCGGCGCCUGACAAGUUAAGGCUUUCUAAAUAACACGUGUGACAUCUCCACAAAGGUGCAUUCCUAAUAAGAUUGGUGUUAAGUGAGAAAGAAUCCUAAAGAUGGUCAAAUGGGCAUGAAGCCUCUCUGUUCAUCUCAGUCUGUUGAACCACCUGAUUUCCUGUAGGGCAGAGAUGCAGGUCCUGCUGAACAAUGCAAAGCAGUCGAUGAAACACAUGCAGGGUCAGCUGAAUGACCUGCAUGGAAAGUUUAUUUAGUUGCAGACUGCUAUCUCUCAGAUCGUGUCAGAUGAGUCUAAUAUACUGUAGGAUAACUCUAUGUAAUGAUGUUAUGGUGAGGAUGAUGAUUGAAAUGUUUGGGAUGGAUCGGUGUCAAUUACAAUAUAGAUUGCAAGUGGUGGAUUUUUCUUGAAUGACUGUAUGUGCUCUAUACUUCAUCCCAGAAGCCAACAUUGCUGCACAGAGGGAGGGGAUCUUCCCAACAAGCAGCGUUUCUGAACAGAGAUGUCCGGAGUAGACAUGUUGCGCGUCCUGCUAUGAUGUCCAUCACCAAGCCAGAACACUCCGAGGCCAACCCUCAAAGCCAGACUGGCAGCCGGGCCAGUGACUGAGCCUGAGACCCCUGCUGCAAAGAACACACCAAACAAUGGUGGCUGGCUCAGCUGGUUCUCUAUAUAUAGACACUAGUGGAUUAGUGUUUUUCUCUGUGGCUUGAUUCAUAGUGUUAUUAUUUUCAUCCUCAGAUUAUCUGGGAUUCAACCCUGGACAGAUGGGUUGACAAAAUUGAUCCCAAUGCUGAGAACAAGCCAGUACCACCACCUCCCCCAAUGGGAAUGAAUGGACAUCUGGGGAACUCUGGCAGUCUCCCCAAAGGAGAGCAGGCAAUUUUCCCAGAGUGGAGUUCCUUAUAAGGGGAUUUUUCAGCAUUUUCAAAGAAUAAGAAAAAGAUAUAGCAAAGAAAAAUAUUAUUUGGCAAUUGCCAAAUUAGUUCUUAGUUAUUAAAAGACUCAAGCAUU